rnacentral:rRNA from 1 species
GACAGAGGGUGCAAACGUUGUUCGGAAUUACUGGGCGUAAAGCGUGUGUAGGCGGCUUAGCAAGUCGGAUGUGAAAGCCCCGGGCCUCAACCCGGGAAGUGCACUCGAUACUGCCGAGCUUGAGUGUCGGAGAGGUUGGUGGAAUUCUCGGUGUAGAGGUGAAAUUCGUAGAUAUCAGGAAGAACACCCGUGGCUAAGGCGGCUCUCUAGUACGGUACUGACGCUGAGACGCGAAAGCGUGGGGAGCGAACAGG